GACGAACGCUGGCGGCGUGCCUAAUACAUGCAAGUCGAACGCAGUGGGGACGGGUGAGUCACACGUGGGUAACCUCCCCUUCAGAGGGGAUAACACUUGGAAACAGGUGCUAAACCGAUACUGAUGGAUGGACCCGCGGUGCAUUAGCUAGUUGGUGAUGUAACGGCUCACCAACGCCACGAUGCAUAGCCGACCGGAGAGGGUGAUCGGCCACACUGGGAACGCGACACGGCCCAGACGCCUACGGAAGGUAGCAGUGGGGAAUCUUCGGAAAUGGACGAAAGUCUGACCGAGCAACGCCGCGGGAGUGAAGAAGGUUUUCGGAUCGUAAAACUCUGUUGUUAGAGAAGCGGUAUCUAACCAGAAAGCCACGGCUAACUACGUGCCAGCAGCCGCGGUAAUUC
rnacentral:rRNA from 1 species